AGGGAAUCUUCCACAAUGGACGCAAGUCUGAUGGAGCAACGCCGCGUGAGUGAAGAAGGUUUUCGGACCGUAAAGCUCUGUUGUUGGUGAAGAAGGAUAGAGGUAGUAACUGGCCUUUAUUUGACGGUAAUCAACCAGAAAGUCACGGCUAACUACGUGCCAGCAGCCGCGGUAAUACGUAGGUGGCAAGCGUUGUCCGGAUUUAUUGGGCGUAAAGCGAGCGCAGGCGGAAGAAUAAGUCUGAUGUGAAAGCCCUCGGCUUAACCGAGGAAUUGCAUCGGAAACUGUUUUCUUGAGUGCAGAAGAGGAGAGUAGAACUCCAUGUGUAGCGGUGGAAUGCGUAGAUAUAUGGAAGAAUACCAGUGGCGAAGGCGGCUCUCUGGUCUGCAACUGACGCUGAGGCUCGAAAGCAUGGGUAGCGAACAGGAUUAGAUACCCUGGUAGUCCAUGCCGUAAACGAUGGGUGCUAAGUGUUGGGAGGCUUCCGCCUGCUCAGUGCUGCAGCUAACGCAUUAAGCACUCCGCCUAGGGAGUACGACCGCAAGGUUGAAAC
rnacentral:rRNA from 1 species